UUACAUACAUCAACCGACAAUUUGUUAAAACAACAAUGAAAAACCGAGAGUCAAGAUGGCAGCGUUUAUUAUUAACCUUCGCGUUUGCUAUGCUGUGGAAGCAUCAGAUUGUUUUUGCUGCUUUGAUGGUGGAUUGGACUGUUUUUU